rnacentral:rRNA from 1 species
GAUAUAUUCCUCGGGAAGCAGCAGUGAGGAAUUUUUCACAAUGGACGAAAGUCUGAUGGAGCAAUACCACGUGAACGAUGAAGGUCUUCUGAUUGUAAAGUUCUUUUAUUUAGGAAAAAAAGCGCGCUAGGAAAUGAGCGCGGCCUUGAUGGUACUAAUUGAAUAAGUGACAGCUAACUAUGUGCCAGCAGCUGCGGU